CCAAGUUUAUGUGAAGCCACUUUCUAACAGUCUAACUCCUUUUUGGCCACAGAAGUCAUCUUACCAUUUCUUAAUCCAUUGUUUACAAAUCCAGAGCAUCUUGAAUUAAAAAAGAUCAGGAAUCCUUGAGAAAGAACACUGCAAUGCCAGCACAAAAGGAAAACAGAGAGAUAUUUCAGAAAGGGGUUGGGUCAGAGUGAUUCAAAGCAUAAGGAAUUCAUCAGCCAUUGCUGGCUUUGAAGGUGAAGGAGGUCAUGAGCCAGAGUAUGCAGGUGGCAUCUACAAGCCAAAAAUAACCCCUGGAUGAAAGCCAGUGAAGAAAUGGGGACCUCAGUCCAACAAGUACAUGGAACUAAAUUCUGCCAGCCAUUGGAAUGAUCCUUGAAGCAGCAUCUUGAUUUUAGCCUGGUGAGACCCUUAGAAUUCUAACCUACUGGUUGUGAGAUAAUGAAUGGUAUUGUUUUAAACUUCUAAAUAUGUGGUAUUUUGUCACAUCUCCAAGAGAAAACUGAUAGCACCACCCAGAACAUUCUUGUGGAUUACUAGUCAUGAUGGGCUUGAGGAGAGUUGAGGUCAGGUGAUACAUGGAGUUUUGGUAUAAGACUAUGUCAUAGUGGGCCUAUGAGAUGUGAAAACACAGCCCUCCCAUUAUUUGUUCUAUUUCCUAAGUAUAUGAUUGAAUUAGGCAUUCUCAGCAAUUUCAAAAAUAGUAUGAAGAUUGUCAAGGAAGAAGAGUCAAGUGGUAGAUCGUGGAAUACCAGUUCCCUACCAAAAUGAGAUAAGCUGUCUUUGCUUUAUUCACUGAUGUAUCCUAGUGCCUGAUACAUAGUAACCAUCAACAAUUAUUUAUUGAACUCACUGGUACAGUAUGACUUUUAUUCCUGUAUCAAAAUUGGCGAACUGAACCUAAAAUUCAUACAGAAAUAUAAGGAACCCAGGCUAGCCAAAAAAUGUCCACAAAGGAAUAAAGCUGGAGAACUCACACUUUCUGAUUUCAAAACUUACUACAGAGCUGCAACAAUCAAGACAGUGUAGUAUUGUAAAAUAAACAUCUAGAUCAACAGAAUAUAAUUGAGAGCUGAGGAAUAAACCUUUACCUUCAUAGUGAAUUGAUCUUCAACAAGGUGCCAACACAAUUCAAUGGGGGAAAAGACUCUUUUCCGCAAAUGGUGCUGGACAACUAGAUACCCACAUUCAAAAGAAUGAGUUUGGGCCCUAUUCUCACUCCAUUUGUGAAAUUUAAGCUCAAGAUGGAUGAGUGAAUAAAGCGCAAGAGCUAAAACAUGAAAUCUUAGAAGAUAAUACAAGAACAAAUCGUUAUGAUUUUGGGUUGGUCAAUGAUGUCUUAGAUAAAAUCAAAAAAGCACAAGCCAUAAAAGAAAAACAAAAGUUGGACGUCAGAAUUAAAAACUUUUGCUUCAAAUAGUACCCUCUAUGAAGUGAAAAGACAACUUACAGAUGGGGAGAAAAUAUUUGCAAAUCAUAUAUUGAAUAAGAGACUUGUAUAUAUGAAGAAUUCUUGCAACAAGAAAACAACCCAAUUGUCAAAGGACUUGAAUAGAAAUUUCUCCAAAGAUGAUAGAAGAAUGAUUAACAUGCACAGGGAUGUAUGUGGAACAACAUGAGUCAUUAGGGAAAAGGUACAUCAAAACCACAAUGAAAUACUACUUCAUGAGUACUAUAAAGUCUACAGUCAAAAAGGCAAUAGCAAGUACAGAUGAGAGUAGGGAAUUAGAACUCUCGUAUAUUUCUGGUGGGAAUGUAAAAGGGGGCAGCCCCUUUGGCAAAUACUUGGGCAGUUUAUCAAAAUGUUAAACAUAGAAUUACCACAGGGUCCAGCAAUUCUGCCUCUAGGUAUCUACCCAGGAAAAAUGAAAACAUGUUUACCAAAGACUUGUACAUGAAUGCGCAGAGUAAUAUUAUUCAUAAGAGACAAAAAGUGGAACAACCGAAAUAUGCAUCCAUUGAUGAAUGGAUAAACAAAAUAUGUUAAAUCCAUACAAUGGAAUCCUAUUGGUCAACAAAAAGGGUCCACAUACUGAUACAUGUAGCAAUGUGGAUACAUUUCCAAAACAUUCUUCUGAAUGAAAGAAGUCAGACACAGAAGACCGCCUACUGUGUCAAGAGAGAAGGAAGAAAAAGAGGGAGGAAAGAAAGAUCAAGGAAAGAAAGAGAAAGAAGAGAGGGAAGAAGGACCGAAGGAAAGCCGACCAGGAAAAAAAAGUGCUUCUAUCAAUUUGGUUACUUCUUCAAAGAAUAUGAAAAGUCUCCAACAAAAGUAUACAAGACUUUAUUAUUUUGCUGAAGAAAUGGAUAUGUUCAGCCUGCUAUUUGGGGCAGGACUUCAAGGACUGGAAUGAAAGACACAACCCUUUUCGGAUAUGGAAUCCUUGGAUGAAAUGUGCUUUGAACAAAAUUCUUUCUCCGUUUAGUUUGACACUACUCAGCCUUGUAAUAGGCCAAGCCAUGGAUUCCUUUGCAACCUGCCUGUGAAAAAGACAUCACCUGGUUACUUCAGAGCUCUGCUCCCUUCCUGUUAAGGAUGCAGAGUUGACUCUUGGCACAACGAAGCUUAGAGAAACCUGGAAUGUUUUAUGGAUGCUGUCUGGCAGUUUUGAUUCAGAACUAGAGGAAGACCAACAGCAAAACAAGCUGGUCCCAGGUCAGCUGAAAAAAGAGCUCACCAGUAAGAUGGACUCCAGAAGAGAUAAGCACCAUGUAGGAGAAUUUUCCAGGUUUUGAUUACCUGCCACUCUGGCAGCUACCCUUUUUUCUAUUAACUCCACAACGUGUGACUCGGAAGAGAAAAAUAUCUUGUGUGGGCUCACCUACCGAAUCAGUAUGAAGUGUAACUCUACGGCAUGCGGAUGUCUUCUAUCUGGAGAAACUUGGAUACCACAGGUAAUUACUGUACUGUUCUCCAAGCCUUUUUUUCAUCUAGGAGGGCUUGAGGCACUGUCUGCACUGUGUCAGUGCUUUUGGGAGUCUGGAUUGCUAGGUAAACUUUUGUAUGUGUCCUUAGAACCGGUUGAUGGCUUAAAUUCGUGAAUUCACUCAGUUCUUGGGGUCCUCUUGGGAGAGUUCUUUCAUUUUGGGUUUCCUUUCAUUUCUCCUUUCUCCUUUCCUUUCCUAUGUGUUCACUCCCAACAUUAUUAUAACUCUCUUUACCUAAGUGUGAAUCUUCUUAAAAAUUAUUUUAAUUAUUUUUAUAUAGUUAAGAUUUUCUUUUUAAGA